AUGUUGCUUCUUUCUCCAGAGGUGUUGCGAGUGCAGAGAAGAAGCCUGGUCAUCUUCUUGUACUUGUUUAUGGCAUAUUGGCGAGGAAAUAUAUGCAUAUAAUUGUGAAAGUAGUUAUCUUCGAGUUGUUUGACUUCGUUAGUCUUGGUUAUAAUUUUCGGAUUUAUAUAAGGUCAAGGAUUGCAUGAUUGCUCUUCGUUUGGUUUUGUGUAUCCGUGAUUAUGCAUUUCUUUUGCAUUCCCCCCUGAAUUGAUAUCAAGUUAACUGAUUCUUAGUAACGCAGCCCAAGUGAUUGGACAUACGUGUGUUACUGCUGUGCUUUAUUUUCAGUCUAUGUUAAAUCAUUGAAUAUGUAUAUAUGUGUCCUGUUGGUAUGUUUUGUUUGUGUUUUUAUGUGUGAACUGAAAUAUAUGUCCAGUUUCUAAAUUAUUUAUAUGUUUUUGUGCAGGUUCUUUGUUUGGUGAAGACUUGAUUGUGCAAACCUUUGCGAGUGUUGAAUUACAUACAACUUUUUGGG
rnacentral:lncRNA from 1 species